rnacentral:lncRNA from 1 species
CACUCGCCAUGCGCCACACCCACACACAAUAAUAACCCUCCAUCGCCCUCAAAAACGACGCUAACUAACCAAGAAAUCACCAAUUUACCGUCACUAAAAGUAAUAAUCAACCCGCUAAAACUCACAUUUCCCUCUUCAUCUUCGUCGUCUUCAAGCUUUCCAUCUCCGUUUCGGCAUCUCUUCCCAUUUCCCUCAGGUAAAUCCUCUCGCAACGUCGGAAUUUCACUCACUCUUUGACUUACUCCGUGAACCUUCUUCUACUGUAACUUCGUUCAUUCUUCUAUGGCUGGGUUCUUCUUUUCUUGAGUACUAAUAGUUGAGAUAGUUCGUGAAAAAACUCCGACGGAUCUUUGACCAGUUUCUUUCCGUUGAAAAGUCUUUAGUAAGUUGCUUUGAAUUUAGGUUGAUGUAUACUUACUUGCGCUUUUGCUUGAUUGAAUUUUAUUUUUUCAUGAUGUCGAUUCUUGAUUUGCAGUUACGGUAGUGUUUCUCGAUUGCUUGGAAGGCUAAGAACCCUAUUUGUCUACUUCUGGAUCUUGUUUGGCUGCUUCUUUGUUUGGAAUGCUCAAUUUCGAUUUGUUUUUUCCAGGGUUUGAUAAUUGAUUCAACGGAAGUGAUUGUGUUGACGUCUUGAGUUCUUGAGUGAAGUGUAAGCUACUAUGAAUUGUGCAGUAGGAAACUGUUCAUAUGAGACCAACGACUCUUUCGUGGAGAAAGUCUUGGCUACUGGACCAUUGUCUGAAAUCAAACAGCCGAAAGCCACCAAGGCUAAGAAUCGCAAGUCUUACAGGAGGAACAUGGUUGCUGUUCCAGAUUCCAGUAAUCAUCAUAAUGGAUAUGGAGAUUCCUGUGUAGGUAAAGGGCAGGAGAAUUGCUUGAAGAAUCAGUGGAGUAGUGU